rnacentral:snRNA from 1 species
GUACUUACUUUGGAAGCACACAUACCACAAUGGAAAAGAGAAAAAGAAACUCAACAUGGUCCUUGGCCAAGAGGGACAUGUAAAUUCAUGAAGCCGUUCAUAUUUCU